UGCUAAUCUCAAAAAGCCGAUCGUAGUCCGGAUUGGAGUCUGCAACUCGACUCCAUGAAGUCGGAAUCGCUAGUAAUCGCGGAUCAGAAUGCCGC
rnacentral:rRNA from 1 species